rnacentral:rRNA from 1 species
CACGUAGGCACCAAGCGUUGUCCGGAUUUAUUGGGCGUAAAGAGCUCGUAGGCGGUUCGGUAAGUCGGGUGUGAAAACUCUGGGCUCAACCCAGAGCCGCCACCCGAUACUGCUGUGACUUGAGUUCGGUAGGGGAGCGGGGAAUUCCUGGUGUAGCGGUGAAAUGCGCAGAUAUCAGGAGGAACACCAGUGGCGAAGGCGGCAUCCUGGACCAUUACUGACGCUGAGGCGCGAAAGCUAGGGGAGCAAACGGG